GAUGAACGCUGGCGGCGUGCCUAAUACAUGCAAGUCGAACGGACGGACGCGACGCUUGUUUCUCUGAUGUUAGCGGCGGGCGGGUGAGUAACACGUGGAUAACCUCCCUAUAUUUCGGGGAUAACUUCGGAACACCGGCGCUAAUACCGGAUAAUAUUUUGAACCGCAGGGUGCAUAGGUGAAUGACGGCCUUGGUGUCACGUCUAGAGGGAUCCGCGCUGCAUUAGCUAGUUGGUAAGUUACCAGCUUACCAAGGCAACGAUGCAUAGCCGACCUGAGAGGCUGAUCGGCCACACUGGAACUGAGACACGGUCCAGACUCCUACGGGAGGCAGCAGUAGGGAAUCUUCCGCAAUGGGCGAAAGCCUGACGGAGCAAGGCCGCGUGAGUGAUGAAGGCCUUCGGAUCGUAAAGCUCUGUUAUUAGGGAAGAACAGAUGUGGAAGUAAAUGUGCACAUCUUGACGGUACCUAAUCAAGAAGCCACGGCUAACUACGUG
rnacentral:rRNA from 1 species